rnacentral:lncRNA from 1 species
UCUGUUUGAUACUGUGGCUUUAAGUAAUAGCUGAUAUACCAUGCAAAAACGUAAAAAUAAGUUGGAAACAUAAUUGAUCACUUUAGACAGGAAAAAAUAAAUCCACUUUCCAUUAUAUUUCUGAGUUUUAGAAUUUAAUUCUUCAUUGUCUAUCUGGAAAUAGUUGCAGAAUCCUCAGAAAAUAUCACUUAUAGAAGGGUAUUAAUAUAAGAAAUACAACUUCCUUGUGCAAAGGCUCUUAAAGUUACUAAAGGGCGUCUAAGUAUGCAAAUCGUCUUAGAAUGCAGGGUAAUGGUCAUUUGAAGACAUUUGAAUACUUUCAUCCACUGUGACUCUGAGUUAGGAAGUAGACAGUGGGGGUUAAGGAAAGAUUGAGUAUUAUCUUGAUUGGAAUUUCAAGACAGGAAAGUCUAAUCCCUUUCUUGUAAAAGACAUCUCGAUGGAUUUCAACUAACCUUGAGAAACGAAUCAGAAUACCUACUCAAACCAGAGCUAAAGAGAAAGUGUUUUUUUUUUUUUUCUUUCUAAAAACCAGGUGUUGAGCUCCUUGGUAACCCAAUACUGGGUGCGCGCGCGCAGAGUGGCCAGACCCCUCUCCACGCAGCUCUGGCUCUUUUUAAUUCGGCAAGUGCACUCACAGCAGAACUGCCACCAGUAUAACGUCUUGACGAUGGGCUCCAGGGUUUGACACUCCGCAGCGCCACCAGCUCUGUUUUCUCCCCAAGUAAGCCACUCUACCUCGCGAGCAGCAGAUCGCCCUGUGCGCGCUACAAUCCGUGGGGCGGGGAGACCUGGCGCUCACCCAGCGAGCUCGACUGGUGCUGACGUCCAUUCAGGCCUUUAAAUGUCUCUGUCCCUGCGCAGGAGGGAACGGACUUUGUAGCAGUCACUUUGCCCGAAGGGCGACGCGUCUCUGCUUUUGCAGGCGGCAGCUCGGACUCCCCUCACUCUUCCCAGCGUUGCGUUUGCCUCUGUCUUUGCCUCGAGUUCCCCGCAGCCUCUCCAGCGGGAGGCGCUUUUGGUAUUCGUACCCUGGGCAUGAACCAACAGGACUCCCCAUGCCCUGUGCUUUUUCAGUGGGUUCGAAGAUCAGAGAUUGCGAGGUGCUCUGGGUGAUCGCUCAAGGAGCAGGGAGCUUCCUCCCCCUGAUUUUGGUAGGGGGUGAUUUUUUUUUUACCCCGAAAAGCGUCCUCCCCGCUCCUGAAGCUGCAACUUGUUUUGGUUUCUUCUCAGUCCUGUGUGUGGUUACAACAUCAAAGUUUUUCUCCCUUACCCUUCCAAAAAUCUAUCCUUUUAAUCCACCCUCCUCCCCCCGCGCUAUCUCCGCCAGGCCUUCUCGCUGUGCGGUGAGUGGAUAGCGGGCGCGCAGUGUGGCAGUGGCGGCGAAGAUUGGCGCUAUCAGGAGGAGCAAAAGGGAAGGAUCUGCUGCUGGGGGCUCGCUGGGUGACCCUUUGCCAGACGAAAAGAGCUGGUCGAGAGAGAAGCGCUUGGCAGGAGCUCUCUGCGGGACCUAAGCUCCGUGGCUGCUCGGGAUCCCUACGUCCGCUGCUGCUGAAGGAGCAGAGGGGAGGACGCCAGCGGUUGCUUACUGGAGCCUGGAGGAAAAUGGAAACAUCAUUCCCUAGAAACAGUUGAAGUUGACAGACCUAGAGGUUGACAAAAGGACACGACACUAGGUUUUUUGGGAUCCUCAACAGAUUGGAUAAUGCUCAUCUGCAUUGAUGAGGGAGUUCCUGCUCACUCAGUCUAUUGAUGAAUUUGCAUUGUCAUGUUUCGAAAUACCAUUCCAAAGACCUGCAAAUAAGAACAUAGCGACUGGAAGAAGUAUCUCGAUGGAGCCCAAAAAGCUGAGUUACAGAGACUGAAAGCAAAGGUAGUUACACAUCUCCAUUGGAUUGUUACACAUCUCAUUCCAUCAGAUGGGUGUGGGGAGGUGAAUGACAAGAAGAUGGUGCAAAAAGGAAUUUAAGAAAUAAAAAUCCAUGAAAACAGACAUAAGGGAAAGAUUCAGCAUGGUCUCUACAAUAAUCAUCACUUUAUAUUCAUCAUGGCAUUGCCAGUAUUUAUGAAUAUGGACAUGUUUGAAUGCAGUUAUUAACAGGGAAUGUAUACUAUUUGUCUUCAACUUUAAAAUUUUGACAGCUGGCAGGCGCGGUGGCUCACGCCUGUAAUCCCAGCACUUUGGGAGGCCGAGGCGGGAGGAUCACGAGGUCAGGAGAUCGAGACCAUCCUGGCUAACAUGGUGAAACCCCGUCUCUACUAAAAAUGCAAAAAAUUAGCUGGGCGUGGUGGUGGGCGCCUGUAGUCCCAGCUACUCCGGAGGCUGAGGCAGGAGAAUGGCGUGAACCCAGGAGGCGGAGCUUGCAGUGAGCCCAGACAGCGCCGCUGCACUCCCGCCUGGGCGAAAGAGCAAGACUCCAUCUCAAAAAAAAAAAAGAAAAUUUUUUUGACAGCUUAUUUUGUUUAUUACCACUUUUUAAUAUGUUUCAUAAUUAGUACUUCAAGAGCUAUAUAACUAUCCUUAAAAUUAUGUAAUGAAAUUUAUAUAUCCAUUUUUCUAUAGUUGAUAGAUUUAAUGAUUCAUUUUUAAACUGUAUUAUGUGACUUUUAAAAUUUUUUAAUAAAAUUCUAAUCAUCAAUGUUUAAA